UCUGCUUCCCUUUUCUCUCCUGCCUCUAGUGCUCCAACAAAGAGGGGUCAGCAACAGCAGCUGAGAAUGUGAGAGGAGUGAACAAACAUGAAAGAAGCAGCUCACCACAUUGUGUUUUGCCAAGUCGGGUGGCCUGCCCACAGUUACGACCUAACUGCGGAAAGUAAAUUGUGAAAUCAACAUAAUACCGGGUAUGGUGACUCACAGUUAUAAUACCAGGACYGAGGCAGGAGGAUCACAAAUUUGAGGGAGCAGAAAGACUUUAGUUUUGGAUCCUUGGGCAYGAUUACAGAAAGACCAGAGAGUUAAAAUGAGCAUAAUCAGUCCAAAAGUCAGGGAAAUGAAGUGACUUACCCAAACUGCAAUUACUGCUGAGUAGCAGACUGAGUACACCUCCUUUUGGAUUCUUCAGCUUYAUUGGAAUAGAACAUAAUUUGGAUAGUUGAGCCGCCAUGAAGUCUCACAAGAAGGAGGAAAGAUGCCAUCUUCUUGAACUUUCCUGCUUCCACAACUGUAAGCCAUCACAAACCUCUUUCUUUUAUAAAGUAUCCAGCCUCAGGUAUUUUGUUAUAGCAACAGAAAAUAGACUAUAACAGUGAGCCUGCAAGCAGCCAUUUCAUCUAUUUCUAGGUUGGGGCAGUUCAGGAUGAAUGCAUUCAUAUUCAAGUGGCAACAGAAUUAUAAAUAUUUGAGGAUUUAUCUAGUUUAGUUGCUCAAUAGCUGAUUUUCAGAAAGACUUUGCCUUGAACUCCACCAAUGAUGACAUCCUAUGGGACUUCAAUAUCAAUACAUGAAAAGACCUGCUACAAGGGUCCUCUCUGUUGUACUCCCAGAACUUGCCUAAAA